UACUCACUGAUAAGUCGCUAUUAGU
rnacentral:misc_RNA from 1 species